GCCCUGGUGGCGGAAUUGGCAGACGCGCUGCACUCAAAAUGCAGUGUCUUCGGGCGUGUGGGUUCGAGUCCCACCCAGGGCACCA
rnacentral:tRNA from 3 species